rnacentral:rRNA from 1 species
GAGGUAAAACUCACUGGAGGACCGAACCAGGGCACGUUGAAAAGUGCUUGGAUGACUUGUGGGUAGCGGAGAAAUUCCAAACGAACUUGGAGAUAGCUGGUUCUCUCCGAAAUAGCUUUAGGGCUAGCGUCGAUGUUAAGUCUCUUGGAGGUAGAGCACUGUUUGGGUGAGGGGUCCAUCCCGGAUUACCAAUCUCAGAUAAACUCCGAAUGCCAACGAGAUAUAAUCGGCAGUCAGACUGCGAGUGCUAAGAUCCGUAGUCGAAAGGGAAACAGCCCAGACCACCAGCUAAGGUCCCAAAAUAUAUGUUAAGUGGAAAAGGAUGUGGGGUUGCACAGACAACUAGGAUGUUAGCUUAGAAGCAGCUAUUCAUUCAAAGAGUGCGUAAUAGCUCACUAGUCGAGUGACCCUGCGCCGAAAAUGUACCGGGGCUAAAACAUAUUACCGAAGCUGUGGAUACCUUUAUAGGUAUGGUAGGAGAGCGUUCUAUGUGCGAAGAAGGUGUACCGUGAGGAGUGCUGGAGCGCAUAGAAGUGAGAAUGCCGGUAUGAGUAGCGAAAGACAGGUGAGAAUCCUGUCCACCGUAAGACUAAGGUUUCCAGGGGAAGGCUCGUCCGCCCUGGGUUAGUCGGGACCUAAGGAGAGACCGAAAGGUGUAUCCGAUGGACAACAGGUUGAUAUUCCUGUACUAGAGUAUAUAGUGAUGGAGGGACGCAGUAGGCUAACUAAACCAGACGAUUGGAAGUGUCUGGCCAAGCAGUGAGG